AUUGAACGCUGGCGGCAUGCCUUACACAUGCAAGUCGAACGGCAGCGCGGGAGCAAUCCUGGCGACGAGUGGCGAACGGGUGAGUAAUAUAUCGGAACGUGCCCAGUAGUGGGGGAUAGCCCGGCGAAAGCCGGAUUAAUACCGCAUACGACCUACGGGUGAAAGGGGGGGAUCGCAAGACCUCUCGCUAUUGGAGCGGCCGAUAUCAGUUUAGGUAGUUGGUGGGGUAAAGGCCUACCAAGCCUGCGAUCUGUAGUUGGUCUGAGAGGACGACCAGCCACACUGGGACUGAGACACGGCCCAGACUCCUACGGGAGGCAGCAGUGGGGAAUUUUGGACAAUGGGCGCAAGCCUGAUCCAGCAAUGCCGCGUGCAGGAAGAAGGCCUUCGGGUUGUAAACUGCUUUUGUCAGGGAAGAAAUCCUCUAGGCUAAUACCUUGGGGGGAUGACGGUACCUGAAGAAUAAGCACCGGCUAACUACGUGCCAGCAGCCGCAGUAACAC
rnacentral:rRNA from 1 species